rnacentral:rRNA from 1 species
GGAACGAUCGGAGGGCAAGUCUGGUGCCAGCAGCCGCGGUAAUUCCAGCUCCAAUAGCGUACGUUAAAGUUGCUGCAGUUAAAAAGCUCGUAGUUGAACGUUCGGGUUCCGCGGGACGGGGCCGCCCCGCGAGGGACGGCGCCGCCCCGGGGCUCGUGAUAUCUCAUCUCGCCGCCCGUCGCGAGGCGGACGGAGGGAUGGAUGAGGUUACCUGGAAAAAUCGGGGCGAUCUAGGCGGGCGAACCUCGCCAACGAACGAUCGGACAUGGGAUAACGGAAGAGGGCGUCGGCUCGACUUCGUCGGUUCCUCGGGCCGAGGCACGUACGGUGAAUAGGGACGGUCGGGGCCGCCCGUACCGGGUCGUGAGAGGUGAAAUUCUAGGAUCGACCCGAGACGAACCGCCGCGAAAGCAUUCGGCAAGGACGCUUUCAUUAAUCAAGAACG